UGGGGAAUAUUGCACAAUGGGGGAAACCCUGAUGCAGCCAUGCCGCGUGUGUGAAGAAGGCCUUCGGGUUGUAAAGCACUUUCAGCGAGGAGGAAAGGUCAGUAGCUAAUACCUGCUGGCUGUGACGUUACUCGCAGAAGAAGCACCGGCUAACUCCGUG
rnacentral:rRNA from 1 species